rnacentral:rRNA from 1 species
GGACCCUUAAAGGUUUUAGUGGCGAACGGGUGAGUAACACGUAAGUAACCUGCCUUUAAGACGAGGAUAACAACCGGAAACGGUUGCUAAGACUGGAUAGGAAACAAAAAGGCAUCUUUUUGUUUUUAAAAGACCUUCUUACGAAGGUAUGCUUAAAGAGGGGCUUGCGCCACAUUAGUUAGUUGGUAGAGUAAAAGCCUACCAAGACGAUGAUGUGUAGCUGGACUGAGAGGUUGAACAGCCACAUUGGGACUGAGACACGGCCCAAACUCCUACGGGAGGCAGCAGUAGGGAAUUUUCGGCAAUGGAGGAAACUCUGACCGAGCAACGCCGCGUGAACGAUGAAGUAUUUCGGUAUGUAAAGUUCUUUUAUUGAAGAAGAAAAAGUAGUGGAAAAACUAUAUUGACGUUAUUCAAUGAAUAAGCCCCGGCUAACUAUGUGCCAGCAGCCGCGGUAAGACAUAGGGGGCGGGCGUUAUCCGGAAUUAUUGGGCGUAAAGGGUGCGUAGGCUGUUAGAUAAGUCUAUAAUUUAAUUUCAGUGCUUAACGCUGUCUUGUUAUAGAAACUGUCCUGACUAGAGUGAGAUAGAGGCAAGCGGAAUUCCAUGUGUAGCGGUAAAAUGUGUAAAUAUAUGGAGGAACACCAGAAGCGUANGCGGCUUGCUGGGUCUUUACUGACGCUGANGCACGAAAGCGUGGGUAGCAAACAGGAUUAGAUACCCUGGUAGUCCACGCCGUAAACGAUGAGUACUAAGUGUCGGGGUAAAACUCGGUACUGAAGUUAACACAUUAAGUACUCCGCCUGAGUAGUACGUACGCAAGUAUGAAACUUAAAGGAAUUGACGGGACUCCGCACAAGCGGUGGAUCAUGUUGUUUAAUUCGAAGAUACACGAAAAAUCUUACCAGGUCUUGACAUACUCUGCAAAGCUAUAGAAAUAUAGUGGAGGUUAUCAGGGAUACAGGUGGUGCAUGGUUGUCGCCAGUUCGUGUCGUGAGAUGUUAGGUUAAGUCCUAAAACGAGCGCAACCCUUGUCGUUAAUUGCCAGCACGUAAUGGUGGGGACUUUAACGAGACUGCCAAUUAAACAUUGGAGGAAGGUGAGGAUUACGUCAAAUCAUCAUGCCCCUUAUGAUCUGGGCUACAAACGUGAUACAAUGGCUGUGACAAAGAGUAGCUGAAACGCGAGUUUUUAGCCAAUCUCAAAAAAGCAGUCUCAGUUCGGAUUGAAGUCUGUAACUCGACUUCAUGAAGUUGGAAUCGCUAGUAAUCGCGAAUCAGCAUGUCGCGGUGAAUACGUUCUCGGGGUUUGUACACACCGCCCGUCAAACCACGAAAGUUAGCAAUACCCGAAAGCAGUAGCUUAACUUCGCAAGAAGAGGGGACUGUCUAAGGUAGGGUUGAUGAUUGGGGUUAAGUCGUAACAAGGUAUCCCUACCG